rnacentral:rRNA from 1 species
AUUCCAGCCCCAAUAGCGUAUAUUAAAGUUGUUGCAGUUAAAAAGCUCGUAGUUGGAUUUCUGGUUUGAUGCCCUGGCCCGCUUCGAAUUUUGGAGUGUGUGCCGGCUGUGCGUCUGCCAUCCUUCUAGAAAACGUUCGUACCCUUCACUGGGCCGCGUUCGAGAUCUAGAUCUUUUACUUUGAAGAAAUUAGAGUGUUCAAAGCAGGCUCGCGCUGUGAAUACAUUAGCAUGGAAUAAUAAUUUAGGACUUGGUAUCCUAUUUUGUUGGUUUUCAGGAUCUAAGUAAUGAUUGAUAGGGAUAGUUGGGGGUGCUAGUAUUUUGCGGCCAGAGGUGAAAUUCUGUGAUUCGCGAAAGACUAACUUAUGCGAAAGCAUUCACCAAGGAUGUCUUCAUUA